rnacentral:rRNA from 1 species
AUUGAACGCUGGCGGCAGGCCUAACACAUGCAAGUCGAACGGUAGCACAGAGAGCUUGCUCUCGGGUGACGAGUGGCGGACGGGUGAGUAAUGUCUGGGAAACUGCCUGAUGGAGGGGGAUAACUACUGGAAACGGUAGCUAAUACCGCAUAAUGUCGCAAGACCAAAGAGGGGGACCUUCGGGCCUCUUGCCAUCGGAUGUGCCCAGAUGGGAUUAGCUUGUUGGUGAGGUAAAGGCUCACCAAGGCGACGAUCCCUAGCUGGUCUGAGAGGAUGACCAGCCAAACUGGACAUGAGACACGGUCCAGACUCCUACGGGAGGCAGCAGUGGGGAAUAUUGCACAAUGGGCGCAAGCCUGAUGCAGCCAUGCCGCGUGUGUGAAGAAGGCCUUCGGGUUGUAAAGCACUUUCAGCGGGGAGGAAGGCGGUGAGUUUAAUAAGCUCACCGAUUGACGUUACCCGCAGAAGAAGCACCGGCUAACUCCGUGCCAGCCGCCGCCGUAA